ACGGCGCACGGGUGCGUAACACGUGGGCAAUCUGCCCUCCGAUGGGGAAUAACCCCGCGAAAGCGGGGCUAAUUCCGCAUAACAUUCCUUGGACUCACGUUCGAGGAUUCAAAGCAGCAAUGCGUCGGAGGAGGAGCCCGCGCCCGAUUAGCUAGUUGGUGAGGUAACGGCUCACCAAGGCAAUGAUCGGUAGCUGGUCUGAGAGGAUGGCCAGCCACACUGGAACUGAGACACGGUCAGACUCCUACGGGAGGCAGCAGUGGGGAAUCUUGCACAAUGGGCGAAAGCCUGAUGCAGCGACGCCGCGUGGGGGAUGAAGCUUUUCGGAGUGUAAACCCCUUUCGCCUGGGACGAAUGCCCGCAAGGGAGUGACGGUACCAGGAUAAGAAGCCCCGGCUAACUACGUGCCAGCAGCCGCGGUAAGACGUAGGGGGCCAGCGUUGUUCGGAAUUACUGGGUGUAAAGGGUUCGUAGGCGGUGCGGCAAGUUGGGAGUGAAAUCUCUGGGCUCAACCCAGAGGCUGCUUCCAA
rnacentral:rRNA from 1 species